rnacentral:tRNA from 2 species
GCCGGUGUGGCGAAAUGGCAGACGCGACGGACUCAAAAUCCGUUUCCCUCUAAAGGAGUGUCGGUUCGAGUCCGACCACCGGUACCA